AUUAAUAAAAUUUCAUAACAUGAGUUCAAAUAGCAAGUGUGGAAAAAUAUAAGCCCGACAUCAGGGUGUCACAAGUCACGAGCAUCUACUAAGGACUGUUUGAAUACAACUAAGACUAUCACAAUCUGGAAAAUACUAAUAUAGUCUAAGGAAGAUAAGAGGGAGAAGAGUAAGGUUACGAUCGUCAUCCAACUGCCUUGCCGACUCCGGAUAUCUGCGACGGAUAAAGGAUCAACACUCACUAUCACGACCCACAACUCCUAGAUCUGCACACAAGAUAUAUGGAGUAAUGUGAGUACGCUAACUCGGUAAGUAAUAAAAGUAAAUAAAGUCUGAGCAGUAAAAAAUACAUAAAUCCACGUCAUAACACCAUAGUAAGUAGAGUAUGUUUCCAAAAUAGUAUAUAGAUCAAAUCAUCUCGUUAAAAUCCAAAUUUAGAAAAAAUCCUUUGAAAAUAUCUUUCUAACAGUUUCAACAGAGGUUCAAUGAAGUUUAUAGUAAAAAUGAUGAAACAUAAAUAGCAUGUAUCAUAAACUGCCCCGCGGGCAUAACAUCUCUCAGAAUCAGCCCCUCGGGCAAUAUCACAAUCGCUCGUAAUCAGCCCCUCGGGCACAACAUGAAUCAAGAACAGCCUUUUGGGAAACAUCAUGCCACUCACUUAGGGUACCCGCACUUACUGGGGUGUACAGACUCCGAAGAGGCUUCUACAGCCCAAGCGAUAUAACAAGCCAUCUCUUGUCAUAAUAAAUUAGGCCCAUGGCCUCUCAUAUAUCACAAAUUAGUUCAACAUGCUGCGGCAUGCAGCCGAUCCCAUAAUAUUCUCACAACACAGGCCAUCGUCCUCACUCAGUCAGAAUCCUCUCAAGCCACACGAGCUAUCAAUAAAAUAGGGUGCUCAACCCAAAAUAUUAUUCUAUGGAUCAAAUUAGAAUAAAUAAUAGCAUGACUGAAUAUAGAUAUUAAAUCAAGACAUAGAGGAAUAAUAGUAAAAAUCCUGUAAGGGUCCAAACAUCUUGGCACGAAGCCUAUGGCAUUCAACCCAAAACAUAGUAAUACUUUCUAAAACACAUAAAUAUCCAAUAGUUUCUAGUAAAAUACGCAACUUAAUAGUCGCUAUGGACGGACCGAGUCCCAAUUCCCAACUGCGACGCCCUCACACUCAUUGUCUAGCAUAUGUGUCGCCUCAAAAUAGUGAAACGAUGUGAAAUUCGGGGAUUCAUACCCCCAGUACAAGAUUUACAGUCAUUACAUACCUCAAAUCGAAAAAACACUCUUACAUGCGAUGCCCUUGCCUCUUGACUCGCCAUCUAAAAGCUUUGAAUCUAACCACAAGAAUAUAUUAUCAUCAAUAUACGCUAAAUGAAUGAAUUCCACACGAAUAUAAUCAAAUUAGACCAAGCAUCUUGAAUCAAACUCAAAUUCGGCUCCCGAGCCCACGUCUCGGAAUCCAACAAAAAUCACAAAACUAGAAACUCCUUUCACUCCCCAGUCUAUACAUAUAAAAACCAUAAUAAUCGGACUUCAAAUGGAUCCUCAAAUCCCCAAUCAAAGCUCUCCAAUACUCAAGCCCUAACAUUCAACUUCACCCCAAAUUCCCCGAUAAUUUCAUGAUUAGGUAGUGGAAAAAUCAUCACAAACACAAAAUACAAAGCCCAAGUAUCUUGCCUCACCAAAACCUCUUGAUUCCCUCUUGGAAUCACUGCUUGGAGCUCCAAAAUCGUCCAAAAAUGAUGGAAGAUGGACUAAAAUUUGCAAAGGAGAUCUUAUAUACUUUUUGCGCAGAACUUCUGCAUCUGCGGUCCAUAAGUCGCUUCUACGACGUUGCACUUGCAGAAAAUCCAUCGCAGGUGCGGUUUUCAGUUAACCCUCAAAAACCGCUUCUAAGGUCAAGAUCCCACAUCUGCGAUCUCGCAGGUGUGGCCCAUGUGCGCACAUGUGGUUCCAGCUUCCGUGGCCUUGGCCGCUUCUGCAGCUGCUCCCUUCAUUCUGUGGAUCUUACACCUGCGGUCCCCACUUCGUGAGUGCGGUUAUGACAGUUGAAGGAAUUCUUCAGCACUUCCUCAAAUCCCAUCCUUGAUCGGUCAACCUCCUGAAAUCAACCCGAGGCCCUUAAGACCUAAACCAAACAUAUGAAUAAGUCACAUACCACCAUUCAAACUUAUUUCGAACUUUGGAACACUGAAAACAACAUCAAAAUGCCAAAUCACCCUCGAAUUCAAGUCUAAGGAUUUCCAAAACUUCGAAUUCCACAAACGUUGCCAAAACCUAUCAAACCUUAUUCGAAUGACCUAAAAUUUUGCACACAUGUCACAAAUGACACAAAGGACUUACUCCUAUUUCUAGAAUUCCAUUUCGACCCUAAUAUCAAGAUUUUCACUCCCGGGCGGAAAAUACCUAAUUUUCAAUUUUGCUAAUUCAAGCCUAAAUCUACCACGGACCUCCAAAUUAUAUUCCGAACAUGCUCCUAAGUCCAAAAUCACCUGAUGAAGCUAUUCGAACUAUCAAAAUUCACAUACGAGACCUUUUACACAUAAGUUAACAGCCAAAAGACCUUUUCCACUUAAGUUUUCGAAUAAGAGACAUAAGUAUCCCUUGCCUCUCCAAGACCACUCCGAACAUACAACAACCAAUACGAUAUGAUGAAAUACAAUUGAACAACACAUAAAGAAGUAGAAAUAAGGGAAACGGGGCUGUAACUCAUGAAAUGACUGGCAGAGUUGUUACAUCUAUCUUCUAUUAGUUGAAAUUCCGGGAUAUUUUUCAAAUCUUUAUUGGUAAAAAGCCUACCAAUGAUUAGUAAGGUUCAAGAUUUUAUAGGUUCAAGGUUUCUCAGAGUUUAACAUACGAUACCUUGUCUUGUACUCCAGGAUAUAAUCGUGGAGUUUUUUACACCUCCUUUUUCCCCCAAGGGAAUAAGGCGUUUUUUUAUUAAAGUAAUGUUAUCGAAAUGAGAUAAUUUAAUAAUCAGAGUCACCACUUGAGAUAACUAUUAAGAUGUCCCAAUUCACCAAUUUAUUUUGAAUACCAAAUCGAGGAAGUUGACUCUUAUAUAUGGUCGAACACAGAACUCCGGGUAAGAAAUUCUGUUAACCUAGGAGAAAGUGUGAGGCAUUUUCGGGUUUUGUGAUUUUAGUACGGUCGCUCAACUAUUAAUAAUUGGCCUGAUUAUCUGAUUAAUUAUAUAGAACCUAUUGCGCAUUUUAUCUUCUAACCUCCUUUAAUUAUUUAAUCAACCAGUUUUAGUAGAAUUUUAUCUGCCUUUAGGAUUUAUGGAAUUUGUUUGAACAAGUGGAAAUAUAGCGCACUCAUUUGUUUUUGUACACAUUAUGAAUCGCGUCACAUAAAAUGCGCCCGCGAUCCACAACAUGUUAAUUUUAUUAUUGUUUGAAAUUGUGGACGAUUCACAUGAAAAGAACACUCAAAUUUGGAUUUAUGUAUCGCAACUAUCCCACGGUUACCGUAUCCAUAGUCACGAGGAUUAUUUUAUUAAUCCUGCCUAAAGCAAGAUACGGUGUUCAUAUGUUAUUUGUCUCCUACAUUUGAGAUUAUUGUGAGGCCAUAAGUUAUGGAAGAGAGUUGUUGGGGCAAAGGCUUAGUCGUUUUAUUCUGCCAAAGAACUUUAUGUAUCGAGAAAGGUUUCAGCAUUUAGAUUGAUAUUGGAUAAUCGUGAAUGAAACAUAUAUUGAGAAACUACUUGUUCGAACCAAGCACUUUAACAAAUUGAAAAGAGGCAUAUUAAUUAAACUAUUACUAUCAAAAGAAAUGAAUAUAUUAACUAAUCAUCACCCUAGUGUGUCCAGGCUUAAAGCAUUGGGCUUAAAACCCUAGCCCAGAGACCUGGUGUCCGUACUUGCUUAACCAAAACCCAGCUUGGCCGAUUUGAAAGUCCAAACCACUUCCCGUAAGUGCCCUGAUGGAAUAGGUUCUAAAAAAAUAAUAGUACACAUUUGAAAUCUUCAAAAUUAGGCACAAUGAACUUAAAUCGGAAUAUGUAAAGCUAAAUAAGGGAUUAAAUUUACAAAUAUCGCCAAUUCUAUAGCUACUGUUCACAGUAUGACGAUUUUACAACAAUAGCCAAAUCCCAACCCACACUUUCAUUUCAUUCUUCACAUUCUUUCAAUGAGACCUUGCCUUUAUCACCUAUUGGUUAUAUCAUUUCUUCUUGAGCCGACUUUAAUUCAUAAUCACAAGUAUAAAGGUGUUAUCAUUAAAUCACACAAAACACCCGAGUUAAUUCUAGAACCAUAUGAGCUCAAUGGAUUUUGAUACUUCAUGCUUUAAACAUUACUUGACUCCUAACAUCAGGAAUUGCAUAAGAAAACUAAAGAUCACAUUCAUUAUGAAACUAAAACUAUCAUUUGAAUAGCACGUUAUAGCAACUCAAUCAAAGAUAGACCAGUCUAACAAUUGAAAAACAACACACGAAAUCAGAUGUAAACACAGCCAAAUCAUUCGACUCUUCAUUAGCACAUUCAAAUAGAGUUACAAAUGGAGUUUUACAUACCUAGAAGCAAAAUCAAUAGAUGAAGUUGAAAAAUAAGAAUCAGAGAUGGAAGUGAAGAUCCAACAAGCAAUACAACAACAAGCUCACAAUCAAACAAAACAGUUCCACAGCUUGAAAGCAAUUCAAAAUCCUAGAAAGAGGGUGAUGCAAAAAACUAGUAAAAAUUGAAGAGCCAAAUAACUUUCGUAUUUUUUUUCUAUCUAUUUUUGAAAGGAACCUAAAUUUCAAAGAGAAUUUUUUGUGUCAAAUUCCGUGUGAGAAUGAGAAGAGGAAUUCCUUUUUUAUAGAAUGUGAGCACGUGUACAUGAUAGGGAAUGAGAGAGAGAUUAAAAGGAAUCUGUCAGCCCCUUAAUUUUAGGGGAAAUAGCAUUUUAACAAAAGAAAUGGACAACUGUCUAAUUUCUAAAUAUUUUUUCUCAUUCUCAGCUCUUUUCUUAACAAAUUAGGACAACUUUCCCUUUCUAAAAACUUCUUUAUUCCCAAAAACUUUUAAACUUUUUAAAUUUUAAUUUUUACCCCAAGUUUUGAAUUUAUUUCCCAUUUUAAUGUAUUUUCAACCAAACAAAACAAAUUCCUUUGUUUUUUAAUUUCUUAGACUCCUGAAUUUCAGUAAUUACAAACAACUAUCACAAAAACUCAGAUGAAUUAAAAAUCAUAGCACAACAAGCAAUAUUCAACUUUUAACCUAUUUUAGGUAAUUAAACAAAUUCAACAUGCAAUUAACUAAUUAAAAUCACUUUAAAGGAAUUAAAACCGACUGCUAUGCUUUUAAAAUAUUGGCCUAAUCACAUAAUUGAUGAAUUUAAAAUCUCAACUAAUCUAAAACAUGCUAAACAUACGAAAAGGCAUACUAGCAGUAAACAUAUUGAUCACCCUUAGAAUAACUAUCAAUUGAUUGAUUUUAACAAAAGUUGAAGCAAAUACUAAAACAUGUUGUUAAUUUUGAAAUAAACCUAGUAUCUAACAUGUAACACAAUGUCAACCUAUGCACCUAAAAUAAUCAGUAAUCAAAGAAAUGAAAAGAAGAUUACCCCUUGUCGAAAAGGUUGGCCCAAAAAAAGAUAUCCGGCUAACAACCCGCAAAAGGAGCCGACAUUAUGGAGAUUCGAUAGAUGGCCCCGACAUAAAUUAAAUUAACAUAAAUAGAUUGCUCUUGUCAAAGCAAUAGAUUUGUGUGAGUUUGAAACAAAAUCGACUCGACUUAACGAGAAAAAACAACAAAAGCUUGAUCUAGGAUUUUUGGGAUUCUAUGAUUUGAAAUUCUUGGAGCUUGGGUAGUUUUCUGGGGAAAUUAGUGAGACUGGGGACGAGGGUGGCAUGGAGAUUGUAAGGUGUUAAUUUAGGGGUGUUUGGGGGUUGUGUCGCCGCUGUAGGCGAUUUCCAGCGGCGAUAUAAAGCUGAGGGUGAGAGAGGGAGACGAGAGGGGUAUGGGCUGGGUUUCUAUGGUUUUCGGGAGGGGGGAUCUUAAAGAAAUUUAUGGGAGGGUAGCAUUGAGUUGUGAACCGUUAGAUCUAAGAUAAUCAAUAGUGGGGAUUACGCGUU
rnacentral:lncRNA from 1 species